rnacentral:rRNA from 1 species
CUUGGUGGCUUUAGCGGUAGGGGUACACCCGUUCCCAUUCCGAACACGGAAGUUAAGUCUACCAGCGCCGAUGGUACUUGCCUGCAACGGGCCGGGAGAGUAGGACGCCGCCAAGA